rnacentral:lncRNA from 1 species
ACUUUCCGGCCCCGCGGCCCAACGCAAGAACACGACAUGCAGACGGCGAGCGGGCGGCGAGCGGCCGGGCCCCCCCGGCCCCCCCAGCGGCGGGGAGCCCCAGGCAUGCAGCUCCUCCUGUGCGGUGAGCCCGGGUCUGGUAAUACUUAGUCUUCGAAGGCAAGGCACAUCAUGUGGUAUAAAAUUUCGUGCAAAUUAGGAAAACAUGGAUUUUUUUUUUUUUUUUUUACGGCUUUUUUUUUUUUUUUUUUUACAGAUUUUUUUUUUUGGUUUUUUUUUUUUUUUUUGUUUUUUUUUCCUUUUUUUUUUCCCCGGGAUUUCCUGCGUCAGCCCUUUCCCCGCGGUGCCACGCUGCGCCCAGGCGGGCAGGAUCCGGCCUUGCUGGGCCAUCCCGGGGCUGCUUGAAGGGGGUGUGUGUGGGGGGGGUGCAAAUGCUCUGGGGGGCGGCGGGGGAGGCGAGCAGGGUGCGGGUGCAGGUGCGGGGUGCGGGCGGUCCAUGGGGUGCCCCACGGGGCGGCGGCAGUGGCCUUGGGCCAUCCCUCGGUGGCUUCGUGCCGGUGUCCCCGCGGCCGUGCCAUCACCUUGCGGGAGGCGCUGGGGCCUUGGCCAGCCCCUGCUCGUCUCCGGGUGCCGCGUGCCGGGUCCCCUGCUCUAAGGCACUGCCCGCGGCGCGGUGCGGCCGGAUCUCGGUCCCCGUGUCCCCUUGCCGGGCGCGGUGACAUCUCGCCGUGGGAUGGGGCCACCGCCGGGCUCUUCCUCGUGCGCUCGCCGUGAAUGACGCCUCGGUGCCAACGCACUGGUGCCGACGGAGCGAUGCUCGCCGCGGGGCUGGCACGGCGACGGUGCCGGUGGGCGAUGCUGCGUGGCGAUGCCCUGGUGCCGGUGCCAAGGGCCGGUGCUCCGGUGGUGCCAACGGGCGAUGCUCCGGUGCUGGCGUGCAAAGCUUGGGGCUGGCACGCGAUGCUUGGUGUCACCGUGCGGUGCUCGGUGCCGGGGCGCGGUGCUUGGUGCCGGGGUGUGAUGCUCCGUGCCAGGGUGCAAAGCUCGGUGCCGGCGUGUGGUGCUCGGUGCCGGUGUGCAAAGCUCGGUGCCGGUGUGUGAUGCUCGGUGCCGGUGUGCAAAGCUCGGUGCCGGUGCGCGCUGCUCGGUGCUGGCACAGCGAUGCUCCAGCAGUGGGGGCUCCUUCGGGACCCGGCCCCCUGCCGCCCUCCCCGCCGCGCCACGGCGAAAUUGAGGCACUUGAAGCAGCGGGCAGGGUGCCCCCGCGGUGGGGGGCUGGGGCCGGGGGCACGGCGGGGGCUCCGUGGGGGGGGGGGGUUCCGGGAGCGGCUCUGCGGUCGCCUUCACUCUCGUCCUCCUUUUCUCCAUCGUUUUUUAAUUAAAAAAACAAAAAAACAAAAAACGAAAACCAAAAAAACAACAAGCCAGCCAUCCCAGCAAGCCAGUGCCGGGGGCUCCCGUCUCUUCUUCCUCCUCCUUGUUCUCCUCCUCCUCCUUUUUUGUGAUUUUUUUCUUUUUUUUUUGUUUUCUUUCUUUCAUUUUCUUUCUUUUUUUUUUUUUUUUAAGAUUCCCUCUUAAAAGUGCAUUUCCUACAAAAUGUGCAACACAAUCGAACCCUCUCGUCGCAAGUCCACAUGGUACCUGUCCACAGGAAU